GAUGAACGCUGGCGGCGUGCCUAAUACAUGCAAGUCGAGCGAACAGACGAGGAGCUUGCUCCUCUGACGUUAGCGGCGGACGGGUGAGUAACACGUGGAUAACCUCCCUAUAAGACUGGGAUAACUUCGGGAAACCGGAGCUAACACCGGAUAAUAUAUUGAACCGCAUGGUUCAAUAGUGAAAGACGGUUUUGCUGUCACUUAUAGAUGGAUCCGCGCCGCAUUAGCUAGUUGGUAAGGUAACGGCUUACCAAGGCAACGAUGCGUAGCCGACCUGAGAGGGUGAUCGGCCACACUGGAACUGAGACACGGUCCAGACUCCUACGGGAGGCAGCAGUAGGGAAUCUUCCGCAAUGGGCGAAAGCUUGACGGAGCAACGCCGCGUGAGUGAUGAAGGUCUUCGGAUCGUAAAACUCUGUUAUUAGGGAAGAACAAAUGUGUAAGUAACUGUGCACGUCUUGACGGUACCUAAUCAGAAAGCCACGGCUAACUACGUG
rnacentral:rRNA from 1 species